CAACCUCAACUCAUAUGGGACUACCCCCUGAAUUUAAGCAUAUUAAUUAGGGGAGGAAAAGAAACUAACAAGGAUUUUCUUAGUAGCGGCGAGCGAAAAGAAAACAGUUCAGCACUAAGUCACUUUGUCUAUAUGGCAAAUGUGAGAUGCAGUGUAUGGAGCGUCAAUAUUCUAGUAUGAGAAAUUAAUGAUUUAAGUCCUUCUUAAAUGAGGCCAUUUACCCAUAGAGGGUGCCAGGCCCGUAUAACGUUAAUGAUUACUAGAUGAUGUUUCCAAAGAGUCGUGUUGCUUGAUAGUGCAGCACUAAGUGGGUGGUAAACUCCAUCUAAAACUAAAUAUAACCAUGAGACCGAUAGUAAACAAGUACCGUGAGGGAAAGUUGAAAAGAACUCUGAAUAGAGAGUUAAACAGUACGUGAAACUGCUUAGAGGUUAAGCCCGAUGAACCUGAAUAUCCGUUAUGGAAAAUUCAUCAUUAAAAUUGUAAUAUUUAAAUAAUAUUAUUAAGAAUAAUGUGCAUUUUUUCCAUAUAAGGACAUUGUAAUCUAUUAGCAUAUCCCAAAUUUAUCAUAAAAUAUAACUUAUAGUUUAUUCCAAUUAAAUUGCUUGCAUUUUAACACAGAAUAAAUGUUAUUAAUUUGAUAAAGUGCUGAUAGAUUUAUAUUAUUACAGAGCGUUAAUUUUUCGGAAUUAUAUAAUGGCAUAAUUAUCAUUGAUUUUUGUGUUUAUUAUAUGCUCUUGUAUGAUUAACAAUGCGAAAGAUUCAGGAUACCUUCGGGACCCGUCUUGAAACACGGACCAAGGAGUCUAACAUAUGUGCAAGUUAUUGGGAUGUAAACCUAAUAGCGUAAUUAACUUGACUAAUAAUGGGAUUAGUUUUUUAGCUAUUUAUAGCUAAUUAACACAAUCCCGGGGCGUUCUAUAUAGUUAUGUAUAAUGUAUAUUUAUAUUAUUUAUGCCUCUAACUGGAACGUACCUUGAGCAUAUAUGCUGUGACCCGAAAGAUGGUGAACUAUACUUGAUCAGGUUGAAGUCAGGGGAAACCCUGAUGGAAGACCGAAACAGUUCUGACGUGCAAAUCGAUUGUCAGAAUUGAGUAUAGGGGCGAAAGACCAAUCGAACCAUCUAGUAGCUGGUUCCUUCCGAAGUUUCCCUCAGGAUAGCUGGUGCAUUUUAAUAUUAUAUAAAAUAAUCUUAUCUGGUAAAGCGAAUGAUUAGAGGCCUUAGGGUCGAAACGAUCUUAACCUAUUCUCAAACUUUAAAUGGGUAAGAACCUUAACUUUCUUGAUAUGAAGUUCAAGGUUAUGAUAUAAUGUGCCCAGUGGGCCACUUUUGGUAAGCAGAACUGGCGCUGUGGGAUGAACCAAACGUAAUGUUACGGUGCCCAAAUUAACAACUCAUGCAGAUACCAUGAAAGGCGUUGGUUGCUUAAAACAGCAGGACGGUGAUCAUGGAAGUCGAAAUCCGCUAAGGAGUGUGUAACAACUCACCUGCCGAAGCAACUAGCCCUUAAAAUGGAUGGCGCUUAAGUUGUAUACCUAUACAUUACCGCUAAAGUAGAUGAUUUAUAUUACUUGUGAUAUAAAUUUUGAAACUUUAGUGAGUAGGAAGGUACAAUGGUAUGCGUAGAAGUGUUUGGCGUAAGCCUGCAUGGAGCUGCCAUUGGUACAGAUCUUGGUGGUAGUAGCAAAUAAUCGAAUGAGACCUUGGAGGACUGAAGUGGAGAAGGGUUUCGUGUGAACAGUGGUUGAUCACGAGUUAGUCGGUCCUAAGUUCAAGGCGAAAGCCGAAAAUUUUCAAGUAAAACAAAAAUGCCUAACUAUAUAAACAAAGCGAAUAUAAUACACUUGAAUAAUUUUGAACGAAAGGGAAUACGGUUCCAAUUCCGUAACCUGUUGAGUAUCCGUUUGUUAUUAAAUAUGGGCCUCGUGCUCAUCCUGGCAACAGGAACGACCAUAAAGAAGCCGUCGAGAGAUAUCGGAAGAGUUUUCUUUUCUGUUUUAUAGCCGUACUACCAUGGAAGUCUUUCGCAGAGAGAUAUGGUAGAUGGGCUAGAAGAGCAUGACAUAUACUGUUGUGUCGAUAUUUCUCCUCGGACCUUGAAAAUUUAUGGUGGGGACACGCAAACUUCUCAACAGGCCGUACCAAUAUCCGCAGCUGGUCUCCAAGGUGAAGAGUCUCUAGUCGAUAGAAUAAUGUAGGUAAGGGAAGUCGGCAAAUUAGAUCCGUAACUUCGGGAUAAGGAUUGGCUCUGAAGAUUGAGAUAGUCGGGCUUGAUUGGGAAACAAUAACAUGGUUUAUGUGCUCGUUCUGGGUAAAUAGAGUUUCUAGCAUUUAUGUUAGUUACUUGUUCCCCGGAUAGUUUAGUUACGUAGCCAAUUGUGGAACUUUCUUGCUAAAAUUUUUAAGAAUACUAUUUGGGUUAAACCAAUUAGUUCUUAUCAAUUAUAACGAUUAUCAAUUAACAAUCAAUUCAGAACUGGCACGGACUUGGGGAAUCC